rfam:Nicotiana attenuata strain TT chromosome 11, whole genome shotgun sequence.
CUUGACAUGCCACUAAUCCUCUUGAAAGAGAGGGGUGCCUUUGGGAACGCGAACACAUGUGGUUCAUGGCUGUCGUCAGCUCGUGCCGUAAGGUGUUGGGUUAAGUCCCGUAACGAGUGCAACCCUUGUGUUUAUCCUCUUCUACGUGGUAGCACUAAACUUCUAAACACUCCCACCUUG